ACCUAGCUACACAACAUAAUCCAUCCGCAGCCAGUGAGAGAGUAUUACCGGAAAAACAGAGAGACGCGGAGAGAGGUCGCCGGCCAGAGCCCGCCGUUUGCGCCACCGCCAUCGUUGACGCACCGGCAUCCCUCAGCCGCCGCCGCCACCAUUCACCGCACGCGGUUCCGUCCACAGUCCAACGGCAAACGACCAAAACCAGAGAGAGAGACGAUGAUUGCCACCGACGCUCCGCCGACCGCGACUUCAAAUUGCGUCGUCGCCACCUAGAAACCACCGGACCUGAGACAGCCGCCGUUCGCCCCUGUUCGCGACACCAACCGUCGUCCGCCGACCGCGAUGCGAAUAACAGGAAACUGAGCGCCAAUCAAGCAAAAGACAGAGAGAGACAGGCAGCGGCGAGCGUAGACCGGGAAUCCAGCCUCGUCGAUCACCGGAAAAGGAGCAGCGGUGAGGAUGCCAUUGCCAAGAAUCCUGUUUCGCCGCCGCCCGCCGCCGUCUUUCUGGUCACAACGCCAGCGCCAAUCGUCCAACGGUGAAUGUCUCCAACACCCACUUUCCCAUCUCCGGCGAACAAAUCCGGCAACUCUCCAGCGAAAGUAGAUUACAGCAGGUGAUCAAGAAGGUGGUGGUGGCUUGUGAGGUUGAGCUUAGAGUUGGUGAUUGCUUGGUUUGAUUAGAGCUUCAAGAGUGGCAGGGUGACCCUCUCAUAUCUGUUCAUUAUCUGUGCGGAGAGUCUAUCAUUGUUACUCCAGAAGGCUCGGAUGAAGGCUCCAUACAUGGUUGCAGGGUAACAUGGGGUGCUCCACAAAUUUCACGCCUGUUUUUCGUGGAUGAUAGCCUCCUGUUCUUUAACGCUAAUGCCCAAGAGACAGGGGUGGUAAAACAUUGGGUAUGUCUGGGCAGGCCGUGAAUUAUCACAAGUCUAGUGUUUGUUUCAACAGGAACACUUCCGAGGAUGACAGGCAUAUGGUGGCUCAGGAGUUGGGUGUUGUCCAGGCGCCUAACAUUGGGAAAUAUCUAGGGCUGCCAGCUUUCGUCGGUAGAAAUAAGAGGGUUGCCUUUUCAUACAUUGAGGAUAAGAUCAAGCAGUGGAUCUAUUCAUGGAAUAAGAGAUUGUUAACGCAGGCUGGCAAGGAAAUCUUGUUGAAGAGUGUGGCCCAAGCAAUGCCCACUUUCCCAAUGGGUGUUUUUUUGCUCCCUCGGUCUGUUUGUCUGUCGAUUGAGAGAACCAUGAAUAAAUACUGGCGGGGUACUGGAUCUGAGAGAGGGAUCCAUUGGAAGGCAUGUGAUCGUUUGUGUGUGCCUAAAAAGUUUGUGGGCUAGGUUUCAAGGACCUACGUGCAUUCAACCUGCAAUGUUGGGCAAACAGGCCUGGCGGUUCUUAAUAAUGCCUAAUUCCCUUGUGACUAGAGUGUACAAAGCCAGGUUCCCGUUAAAGUGGCUUGCUUAGGAUAUAAGCCUGGGAUUGGGUGGUUGCUUUUGAGAGAUUUAGCUUCGAGUAGCUUUGCUUUAUCAUUUAUGGCGUGCACGCAACAAUGCUGUGUGGGAGGGCUUCCUACCGCCGCCAAAAAGACUUGUGGAAUCUACGACACACUCUUUGCAUGCUUGGAGGGCAGCAAAUCUUGGACACCAGCAUCUUGGGCAGUCAGUUGUGGCGACUGGCGUGGACUUGCAUGCGCAUACGACAGCAGUACGUCUCAGGUGCUUCUUCGACGCAUCUUUUUUCGCCAACACUCUCAAACUUCGUUCGGGGCGGUGUUAGUGUCGCCGAAUGGUGGCUUCGUCGCUGCUUGUGGAGGGCCUCUAAUCGAUUGUUUCUCUCAUUUCAUGGCGGAGGCCGUGGCGUGUACGAAAGUGUUGUCCUAGCUUAGGGACAGGGCUGUGGAUUCUGUUGAUUUAUGCACGGUUUGUUCACAGCUUAUGAGUGGCUUAUGAUGAUGAUAAUAGUAAUAGUAAUAGUAAUAGUAAUAGUAAUAGUAAUAGUAAUAGUAAUAGUAAUAAUGGUAUUAUUAGUGUAAAUAAAGAUUUUGAUUAAUUUACAAAUUUUUUUAUCAAAGAUGCUAGUAGCUCAAUGGUUUGAGUGUGUCCUAAUUCUUUAAAGGUUGCAAGUUCAAAACUAAUUGUGAGCAUAUUUUGGUAGAUGAUGGAUUGUUGGCUUCUAGGUAAGAUUUAUGUCGAUCCAAAAUUUAUUACCCCAAAUUAAAAUCAUUUUACUACGUGAUUAAGCGCAAUAUUUAUUUUAAUAUGAUUUUUGAAUGAUUAUGUGAUUUAUUGAAUGGUUUGUAAUAUUUAAAUUGAUUAUUAUGGACUUAUGCGAUUUGUGGAAUUAUAUAGAUUAUUAUGAAAUGUGUGACAUGUUUUGGAUGUUUAUGCAUAUUAUUUCUACGUGUUGUGAAUUAGAUGGAAUUAAGUUUUGAAUGGUGAAAAGAUGGAAAUUAUUAGUAUAUGAUUUAUGAAAGGGAGAAUAUUGGUAUAUGGAUAUUAAGAAUAUGAAGGUUUCAUAGAUCUAAGAUAUGAAAUUGAAUAGGUGAUUUUUGAGUUGUAAGAUGAGAAAUUUGAAGGAUUUGGUUAUAUAUAUAUUUUGUCACGGAGGAUGGUAAUACUUGGAGGUUUUGAACUCUUCUUUUUUUGUUAUAAUUAUUAUUGUGAGAGCUGAGUUCUCUCUAUUUGGUUUUGGCCACCGGUUCGUGGACUCGUCCGGUUGGUUUGGAUUUGGUUUUGGCCACCGGUUCAUAGAUUCGUCCGGUUGGUUUGGUAUUGGUUUGGAAGCUUGAAACUUUCCAUUUGGAUCUAUUCCUCCUUGACACUGUAUAUAAUGACUAUUAUUGGACAUAUGAAAAGUUUAACUAAUUAUUUGAAAAACUAACCUUUGGUGGUUAUUGUGACUUUGUGAGAGUUGUGGUUACUCUCAAUUGGUGGUUAUUUAGAGAGAUUGGAAUUCACUCUUUGGUGUUUACUUUGAGAGUUUGGAAACUCUCUUUGGUUAUUAUUAUAUGAAUUGGAAAUUAUAUUUAGUGAUUAUUUUUUGGUGAUUAUUUAAGGAUUCUAAAUCCCUUUGGUGAUUGUUACUGGCGGCAUUAUGAAAUGUCUUGAGGAAAUGAUUACAUAAAAUAUUGAGAUACAUAUUAUAUUGUGAAUCUUGAUGAGAGAGUGGUUGUAUGAUUUUGAUUACGGAUAGGCAAUGCCUUGAUCUCCUAGAAAUUUUGUGGAUAUUUUUCUAUAUACUUUAAUGUGUGAUUUUCUCAAGUUACAUUUUAAUUGGUUGAAAAUUAUUGAUAUUGAUGACAAUAAAAAUGUUUAAGGGGUUAAUGUGGAAUUAUGUGACUUAUGUGUUAUGUGCUAUGUGCAAAUAUUUUACGGGGUGGAGUAAGUAUUACCCGUUGUUCAAUGCUGAC